AGCGAACGCUGGCGGCAGGCUUAAUACAUGCAAGUCGAACGCCUGUAGCAAUACAGGAGUGGCAGACGGGUGAGUAACGCGUGGGAACGUACCCUUCGGUUCGGAAUAACUCAGGGAAACUUGAGCUAAUACCGGAUACGUCCGCAAGGAGAAAGAUUUAUUGCCGAAGGAUCGGCCCGCGUCCGAUUAGCUAGUUGGUGGGGUAAUGGCCCAUCAAGGCGACGAUCGGUAGCUGGUCUGAGAGGAUGAUCAGCCACACUGGGACUGAGACACGGCCCAGACUCCUACGGGAGGCAGCAGUAGGGAAUAUUGGACAAUGGGCGAAGGCCUGAUCCAGCCAUGCCGCGUGGGUGAUGAAGGCCUUAGGGUUGUAAAGCCCUUUCGGCGGGGAAGAUAAUGACGGUACCCGCAGAAGAAGCCCCGGCUAACUUCGUGCCAGCAGCCGCGGUAACAC
rnacentral:rRNA from 1 species